rnacentral:rRNA from 1 species
GCAGGCUUAACACAUGCAAGUCGAGCGCACCUUCGGGUGAGCGGCGGACGGGUUAGUAACGCGUGGGAACAUACCCUUUGGUACGGAAUAGCCUCUGGAAACGGAGAGUAAUACCGUAUGAGCCCUUCGGGGGAAAGAUUUAUCGCCAAAGGAUUGGCCCGCGUUAGAUUAGGUAGUUGGUGGGGUAAUGGCCUACCAAGCCUACGAUCUAUAGCUGGUUUUAGAGGAUGAUCAGCAACACUGGGACUGAGACACGGCCCAGACUCCUACGGGAGGCAGCAGUGGGGAAUCUUGGACAAUGGGGGCAACCCUGAUCCAGCCAUGCCGCGUGAGUGAUGAAGGCCUUAGGGUCGUAAAGCUCUUUCGCCUGUGAAGAUAAUGACGGUAGCAGGUAAAGAAACCCCGGCUAACUCCGUGCCAGCAGCCGCGGUAAUACGGAGGGGGUUAGCGUUGUUCGGAAUUACUGGGCGUAAAGCGCACGUAGGCGGACUGGAAAGUUGGGGGUGAAAUCCCAGGGCUCAACCCUGGAACUGCCUCCAAAACUAUCAGUCUAGAGUUCGAGAGAGGUGAGUGGAAUUCCGAGUGUAGAGGUGAAAUUCGUAGAUAUUCGGAGGAACACCAGUGGCGAAGGCGGCUCACUGGCUCGAUACUGACGCUGAGGUGCGAAAGUGUGGGGAGCAAACAGGAUUAGAUACCCUGGUAGUCCACACCGUAAACGAUGAAUGCCAGUCGUCGGGUAGCAUGCUAUUCGGUGACACACCUAACGGAUAAGCAUCCGC